AUGCGUCCCUCCUCGCGCUCGGCGCGACCGAGCUCAUAUGAGCUGCUGCGCAGCGAUGGGGGGGGUAGCAGCCGUGCGGGAGAACGGCAGGCGGGGCUGUUGUCCCAGCUGUGCCGGCCUUGCGGGGUCGUGCCCGGCUCUUCGCGGGACCUUCCGGCUGCGGUCCGUUGCCGUAAAGCGGCGCUUGUCUCACCUGUGCGCGUGGCUGUGAGGGGAGGUCGGGGCGCCUCCGUAACGCCUCCCGUAAGGCGCUCAGCUGAGGAGUGGCGUGGAGAGAAAGUGCUUGAUGGAGUGGUGACGGUGGUACCUCCGAGAAAGCCUGUGAACACUUCCGAACAAAAGAACAGCCAAUACCCCAUAUGUAAUAGCUCUGGGAGACUUGGCAGAAAGUUUCAAAAGAAAGUAACAUCACCUCAACGAAGUGAAGUACGGAGGAAAGAAGGAAGUCAGUUCUUCAAAUUUGCUCAUUUCUUUUAUUGCUUGAACACCCUGCACCUCAGCAACAACUACAAAAUGCACCACAGUACCACUGACUCUAGCCAUGCUUUUCCUUCUCACAGCAUUAUUGUCUAUCCUGUGUAAGCUACCAUAAACUCGAAAAAUAGCAAUCUUACUCUGAGCAGCUGCUAAAGCUGGACAAACACACCACUAGACUAUUCCAACCUAGCAGGCUGCUUCUCCCAUCUAACGCUCAAACUAUCCCAACACUGCUAAUAAGCUCCAAGCUAUCACCAAGAACCGCUGUGUUAUGACACACUGCUUCACAGCCCGCACAGGAAAGGAAGAAGACGAAAGAAAACAGCCUGCACUGCAAAACACGUUUGCAGUUCCCCUCGUGCGGCCCAUUCAAAACCUAUCCACGCAUCUCCAGCGUCGCUAAGCAUUGCAACAACCGCCUAUCCGUAUCUUCAUAGUUCUUCCGACGAGGAGAACGGGGUGCUGAACCUCACGUUGCAGGUCAUCCACUCCCCUGCCUACAAGAACGAGCGCACACGAGAUGAAAGGCCGGCAUUGACUCGGGGACAGCCGUCCUGCGCAGGGGCACAGGGUCCCGUCUGUCACCGCCAGCUGCGCGUCCUCCUCUCCCGGCUGCAGCUCCAGCUGCGGGGCGCUGGGUGUGGGGCCGACGGGGUGCAGCUCUCCGGUGAGCAGGACCAACUCGGCUCCCUCCCACGGCAGAGACACCUCCCGGCGCUGAGGAGCGUCGGAGCUGCUCCGCAUCCCCUCCCCCCAAGUCGGGCCUCGGCGGCGGCAUUCGCAGUCCCACAGCGCCACCUUGCGGCCGCUGCGCCGGGCCCGGGCCGGGCCGCUGCCUUCGGGAGGGAGAGCUCCGGGCGCUGCCGCGCGGGGCAGGCUCUGCGGAGGGAGGGGCCGCUGUGACCCCGUCCCCCGCCGGCGGGCUCGGAUCAAGCAGCGCGGCCGGCCGGAGCUCCCCCGUCCCGUCGGUAGCGCCGCGUGGUCGGUGUGCCUACGGGCUGCUCGCCCGCUCGUGUCCUUCUCCUGUCCCGCCUCGUCUGGGCGAGCCGUGCGGCAGUGAUGUCAAGGGGAUUUUCGCUAAGACCCAGAUAGUUCGGUGUUAGUU
ensembl:lncRNA